AGUCACUGACAUUAGAUACCCCUGUAGUCCCAGCCGUAAACAAUGUGCGUUAGGUGUGUCGGUAACCACGCGUUACUGAUGCGCCGAAGAGAAAUCGUGAAACGCACCACCUGGGAAGUACGGUCGCAAGGCUGAAACUUAAAGGAAUUGGCGGGGGAGCACCACAACAGGUGGAGCCUGCGGUUUAAUUGGAUUCAACGCCGGACAUCUCAUCGGAUAAGACAGCUGAAUGAUUGUCAAUCUGAAGGUUUUACAUGACUAGCUG
rnacentral:rRNA from 1 species